GAUUAAGUUAUUAAGGGCGCACGGUGGAUGCCUUGGCACUAGAAGCCGAUGAAGGACGUUACUAACGACGAUAUGCUUUGGGGAGCUGUAAGUAAGCUUUGAUCCAGAGAUUUCCGAAUGGGGAAACCCAGCAUGAGUUAUGUCAUGUUAUCGAUAUGUGAAUACAUAGCAUAUCAGAAGGCACACCCGGAGAACUGAAACAUCUUAGUACCCGGAGGAAGAGAAAGAAAAUUCGAUUCCCUUAGUAGCGGCGAGCGAAACGGGAAGAGCCCAAACCAACAAGCUUGCUUGUUGGGGUUGUAGGACACUCUAUACGGAGUUACAAAGGACGACAUUAGACGAAUCAUCUGGAAAGAUGAAUCAAAGAAGGUAAUAAUCCUGUAGUCGAAAAUGUUGUCUCUCUUGAGUGGAUCCUGAGUACGACGGAGCACGUGAAAUUCCGUCGGAAUCUGGGAGGACCAUCUCCUAAGGCUAAAUACUCUCUAGUGACCGAUAGUGAACCAGUACCGUGAGGGAAAGGUGAAAAGCACCCCGGAAGGGGAGUGAAAUAGAACCUGAAACCGUGUGCUUACAAGUAGUCAGAGCCCGUUAAUGGGUGAUGGCGUGCCUUUUGUAGAAUGAACCGGCGAGUUACGAUUUGAUGCAAGGUUAAGCAGUAAAUGUGGAGCCGUAGCGAAAGCGAGUCUGAAUAGGGCGUUUAGUAUUUGGUCGUAGACCCGAAACCAGGUGAUCUACCCUUGGUCAGGUUGAAGUUCAGGUAACACUGAAUGGAGGACCGAACCGACUUACGUUGAAAAGUGAGCGGAUGAACUGAGGGUAGCGGAGAAAUUCCAAUCGAACCUGGAGAUAGCUGGUUCUCUCCGAAAUAGCUUUAGGGCUAGCCUCAAGUGAUGAUUAUUGGAGGUAGAGCACUGUUUGGACGAGGGGCCCCUCUCGGGUUACCGAAUUCAGACAAACUCCGAAUGCCAAUUAAUUUAACUUGGGAGUCAGAACAUGGGUGAUAAGGUCCGUGUUCGAAAGGGAAACAGCCCAGACCACCAGCUAAGGUCCCAAAAUAUAUGUUAAGUGGAAAAGGAUGUGGCGUUGCCCAGACAACUAGGAUGUUGGCUUAGAAGCAGCCAUCAUUUAAAGAGUGCGUAAUAGCUCACUAGUCGAGUGACACUGCGCCGAAAAUGUACCGGGGCUAAACAUAUUACCGAAGCUGUGGAUUGUCCUUUGGACAAUGGUAGGAGAGCGUUCUAAGGGCGUUGAAGCAUGAUCGUAAGGACAUGUGGAGCGCUUAGAAGUGAGAAUGCCGGUGUGAGUAGCGAAAGACGGGUGAGAAUCCCGUCCACCGAUUGACUAAGGUUUCCAGAGGAAGGCUCGUCCGCUCUGGGUUAGUCGGGUCCUAAGCUGAGGCCGACAGGCGUAGGCGAUGGAUAACAGGUUGAUAUUCCUGUACCACCUAUAAUCGUUUUAAUCGAUGGGGGGGACGCAGUAGGAUAGGCGAAGCGUGCGAUUGGAUUGCACGUCUAAGCAGUAAGGCUGAGUAUUAGGCAAAUCCGGUACUCAUUAAGGCUGAGCUGUGAUGGGGAGAAGACAUUGUGUCUUCGAGUCGUUGAUUUCACACUGCCGAGAAAAGCCUCUAGAUAGAAAAUAGGUGCCCGUACCGCAAACCGACACAGGUAGUCAAGAUGAGAAUUCUAAGGUGAGCGAGCGAACUCUCGUUAAGGAACUCGGCAAAAUGACCCCGUAACUUCGGGAGAAGGGGUGCUCUUUAGGGUUAACGCCCAGAAGAGCCGCAGUGAAUAGGCCCAAGCGACUGUUUAUCAAAAACACAGGUCUCUGCUAAACCGUAAGGUGAUGUAUAGGGGCUGACGCCUGCCCGGUGCUGGAAGGUUAAGAGGAGUGGUUAGCUUCUGCGAAGCUACGAAUCGAAGCCCCAGUAAACGGCGGCCGUAACUAUAACGGUCCUAAGGUAGCGAAAUUCCUUGUCGGGUAAGUUCCGACCCGCACGAAAGGCGUAACGAUUUGGGCACUGUCUCAACGAGAGACUCGGUGAAAUCAUAGUACCUGUGAAGAUGCAGGUUACCCGCGACAGGACGGAAAGACCCCGUGGAGCUUUACUGUAGCCUGAUAUUGAAAUUCGGCACAGCUUGUACAGGAUAGGUAGGAGCCUUUGAAACGUGAGCGCUAGCUUACGUGGAGGCGCUGGUGGGAUACUACCCUAGCUGUGUUGGCUUUCUAACCCGCACCACUUAUCGUGGUGGGAGACAGUGUCAGGCGGGCAGUUUGACUGGGGCGGUCGCCUCCUAAAAGGUAACGGAGGCGCUCAAAGGUUCCCUCAGAAUGGUUGGAAAUCAUUCAUAGAGUGUAAAGGCAUAAGGGAGCUUGACUGCGAGACCUACAAGUCGAGCAGGGUCGAAAGACGGACUUAGUGAUCCGGUGGUUCCGCAUGGAAGGGCCAUCGCUCAACGGAUAAAAGCUACCCCGGGGAUAACAGGCUUAUCUCCCCCAAGAGUUCACAUCGACGGGGAGGUUUGGCACCUCGAUGUCGGCUCAUCGCAUCCUGGGGCUGUAGUCGGUCCCAAGGGUUGGGCUGUUCGCCCAUUAAAGCGGUACGCGAGCUGGGUUCAGAACGUCGUGAGACAGUUCGGUCCCUAUCCGUCGUGGGCGUAGGAAAUUUGAGAGGAGCUGUCCUUAGUACGAGAGGACCGGGAUGGACAUACCUCUGGUGUACCAGUUGUCGUGCCAACGGCAUAGCUGGGUAGCUAUGUGUGGACGGGAUAAGUGCUGAAAGCAUCUAAGCAUGAAGCCCCCCUCAAGAUGAGAUUUCCCAACUUCGGUUAUAAGAUCCCUCAAAGAUGAUGAGGUUAAUAGGUUCGAGGUGGAAGCAUGGUGACAUGUGGAGCUGACGAAUACUAAUCGAUCGAAGACUUAAUCAA
rnacentral:rRNA from 1 species